rnacentral:rRNA from 1 species
CCCUGGUAGUCCACGCCCUAAACGAUGUCAACUAGCUGUUGGGGGUUUGAAUCCUUGGUAGCGUAGCUAACGCGUGAAGUUGACCGCCUGGGGAGUACGGCCGCAAGGUUAAAACUCAAAGGAAUUGACGGGGACCCGCACAAGCGGUGGAUGAUGUGGAUUAAUUCGAUGCAACGCGAAUAACCUUACCUGCUCUUGACAUGUACGGAAUCCUGAAGAGAUUUAGGAGUGCCCGAAAGGGAGCCGUAACACAGGUGCUGCAUGGCUGUCGUCAGCUCGUGUCGUGAGAUGUUGGGUUAAGUCCCGCAACGAGCGCAACCCUUGUCUUUAUUUGCCAUCAUUGAGUUGGGCACUCUUAUGAAACUGCCGGUGACAAACCGGAGGAAGGUGGGGAUGACGACAAGUCCUCAUGGCCCUUAUGAGCAGGGCUUCACA